CUAGGACUAAACCAGGACUAAACCAGGUCUAAACCAGGUCUAAACCAGGACUAAACCAGGUCUAAACCAGGACUUAAUCCAGGACUAAAACUAGGACUAAAACCAGGACAAUAUCAAGUAAUCCAAAGUAUUCAGAUUACAUUACUCACUUUAAGUAGUUUAAUGGAUUACGUUAUAAACUAUCUUCUGCCUCCAGUUAAGUGUUUUCCAACCUAAGCCUCGGCAGCUUAACAUCAAAAUGGUCCCAGAAAAGACAAGAUGCGGCUUUAUGUUUCAAGACCAUUUAUCCUUUUUUGUAAAACUGUGAAACAGAUACAAGAAAUACUUCAGUAUUAACAUGUACAGACUGUGUGGCUAGAAUAUAACAGUUAACAGAAACAAAAACGUUUUUAUACAUAUAUUAAACAUAAAAAUAUCCCAUCAAGUAACACAGAAAAUAUCAUUUAAUCGCAUGUAACUUACAGAUUAUGGUUUGCCCAGGGUUUCCCAAGAUUUCACAAGUUUGGUUUGGUCUUAGCACCUCCAAAACCGUUACUGACUUGUCUUGCGCUUACAAGUGGAGGCCGCUAGAUGGCGCUGCCACGCAUAAACUAAUUAAAGAAGAAGAACGGAAAAGUGAAGAUAUAAUGACAAAGUCUCCCUCUACUGGACAAACAGGGGAAAACACUAACACUUUACACAAACCCAAACCAACAGAAUUCAAAUGAAAUGAAGGACAGAAUAAACUACAUUUCGGGGUGUGUAAUCUGUAAUCUGUAGGGGAUUACAUUUUUAAAGUAACCUUCCCAACACUGCUGGUUAUUUUCUGUGUUUAUUUUAAUCUUGUAAAUACCAAAUAUGUGUAAAUCUUAAAUUACCUUGAAACUGUUAUUUUGACCUGCUGUUCCUGUCCUGACCGCUAGAUGGAGCCAGAGCGCCUCCUUCUAUAAUUAUUACUCGGUUUUGGACUCGUUAAAACUUUUUUUUUAUUUUUUUUUAAUCUUUGUCAUUAUAUUUUAUUGUGAUGUUUGAGCUCCUGUGUCUAAAUAAUUUAUCUUGUGAAUCAAUAAAGUUUGUUUAAGUCUAAUUUGA